rnacentral:rRNA from 1 species
GACGAACGCUGGCGGCGUGCUUAACACAUGCAAGUCGAACGGAAAGGCCCUGCUUUUGUGGGGUGCUCGAGUGGCGAACGGGUGAGUAACACGUGAGUAACCUGCCCUUGACUUUGGGAUAACUUCAGGAAACUGGGGCUAAUACCGGAUAGGAGCUCCUGCUGCAUGGUGGGGGUUGGAAAGUUUCGGCGGUUGGGGAUGGACUCGCGGCUUAUCAGCUUGUUGGUGGGGUAGUGGCUUACCAAGGCUUUGACGGGUAGCCGGCCUGAGAGGGUGACCGGCCACAUUGGGACUGGGAUGCGGCCCAGACUCCUACGGGAGGCAGCAGUGCGGAAUAUUGCACAAUGGGCGGGAGCCUGAUGCAACAACGCCGCGUGCGGGAUGACGGCCUUCGGGUUGUAAACCGCUUUCGCCUGUGACGAAGCGUGAGUGACGGUAAUGGGUAAAGAAGCACCGGCUAACUACGUG